GUAUUUGAUGGGUCUGAAUGAAAAUCUGAUGAAACAGAUGUUACUUGAAGCUGAGUGACUUUCUCAGGGUCAAGCAAAUAAGUAAAUGGAGGAGCCAGAAUUAUACCCCAGGAUCCCCAUCACAAGGAGGGGAGGGCUACCAUCCCAGCUGCAAACUCUCAUUCAAGGUUUAUGCUGCAGCCAGCAGUGUCCUUGGAGUCUAGUUCAAAGCUGAAGAGAGUGAACCAUGGAACUGGGAGCCAUUGGCGGAGAGGCUGGCCUGAAGGAAGGGAAGUGUUUCAGCCAGAAUGUACUGACGCACAACCAGGAAACCACAAGACUGGUGAGAACCUUUCCAAAACUGAGCUUUAUGAUCAAAAGAGGUACAGGAAACAGCUCUGCCAAGAGUCCUUUCUGCUCCUGGCUGGAACCCUGAGCUUCUGAGGCUCUCUGAGUCAACUCUCUGAACAGAUGCUGUCACCCAAGGAACCAUCACUAAAGCAUUUUUUUGCUUUGCUCUGAGGUGGCCUCACUGAGUAACUACCAGUUGCCAUGAAAUAAAUCACAUCAUCAUAUGGCAGAUCCAGCUAAUAGCUGAGACUGGCAGGAUAACUGAACCGUGUACUCAGAGCUAAAUGAUGGAGAAAUUGGACUGGCCAUGGAGCACUUCAAAUUGAUUGCUUAGUAAUGGGAUAUUUUUCCUGGAAAGACAACAGAAUACUUCUGAAUUGUUGGUUCUGUCAUGGGUACAGGCUCCCAUGUACAGGAAAAUAAAGAAAGUGUGAUGAAUUUUUCAUCUGGCCUUCUGCCUACUUUCUUGCUUUCUGCAUGUCUCCAUUUUUAGUCUGUAAGCCCUGCCUAGAUGACCAAUCACUAUUGCCCAUGUGGCAUAAAACCUACAAUUUAACUAUACUUCUUACCAAACUCUCAGCAAGUAUGAGGUAGCCAACAGCCUUUUCAAGAUAAUGACUGAGUCUUAGCUUAGGUUUCAGUCAUUUUAGGAAACAUAAAAAAUUCAAUGGUGGGAGAUCAUACACACUCUGCAAAGAUGUCAGAAGUCAAGUUUUGGGAGAGUCCACACACAAACUGAGCAGUGAUGGUAAAAUAUAUUUUUGAAAUAUUUCUCCUCUGUGACUGUUAUGUGAAGUAGAGCAAACACAUUGUGCUGCAGUGCUCUUUGGGACAUGCCUUUUUUGGGAAGUGCUAACUUUAUACUCUGCUGACACCAAACAUUUGAAUAUAAAACCUUAUUUUUUUCUCUCACUCUGCUCCACUUUUGGCUCAGCUUAUUCUACCAAAACACACUUCAAAAGACUUCUUUAUAGAAAGAAUGUUUCAAAAAUAUAAUAUUUCCAUCUGUUAUUUCAAUAAUACAUGCUCUGGGACUCUCUUUAUGAACCACUUUCCUUUCUUUGCUCCCAUUUAGAUGUAUAAAUAUUUGAUUGUAAAGCUCUAAGGAAUAGUCAGCCAAUCGGGUCACUGAAUUGUGAACAUUCCUAACCCUAUAAUUUUGUCUGUAGCAGGCACCUCCUGCUGUGGAACUAACUGCUAAGGGAUUAUAGCAAUGUAAUCCUCAGACUGUUCCAUCUCAAGGUUACUCUGAAGUGGAGGGAAGGAAGCCGUUUUAAUUUUGAUAAAAUAAACUUUAUUUUGUAACUUUAUUAUUUGUUUUUCUUUUUCCUUUCAACACUUCAUAAUAGAUGUGUCUGGUAAUUUGAAGUUAGCCUCUCUGGUUGAGGUGCCCUAAACCACCUCGUAUUAUUGUA
rnacentral:lncRNA from 1 species